rnacentral:rRNA from 1 species
GCCAGACUCCUACGGGAGGCAGCAGUGGGGAAUAUUGCACAAUGGGGGAAACCCUGAUGCAGCGACGCCGCGUGAGCGAUGAAGUAUUUCGGUAUGUAAAGCUCUCUCAGCAGGGAAGAAGAUGACGGUACCUGACUAAGAAGCCCCGGCUAACUACGUGCCAGCAGCCGCGGUAAUACGUAGGGGGCAAGCGUUAUCCGGAUUUACUGGGUGUAAAGGGAGCGUAGACGGCCAUGCAAGCCAGGGGUGAAAGCCCGGGGCCCAACCCCGGGACUGCCCUUGGAACUGCAUGGCUAGAGUGCGGGAGGGGCAGGCGGAAUUCCUGGUGUAGCGGUGAAAUGCGUAGAUAUCAGGAGGAACACCGGCGGCGAAGGCGGCCUGCUGGACCGCGACUGACGUUGAGGCUCGAAAGCGUGGGGAGCGAACAGGAUUAGAUACCCUUGUAA